CUCUGCAACCUUAGGACUUGCAGAAUUAACAGAAUGCCGUCCUGAGCUUGUCGAGCU
rnacentral:pre_miRNA from 1 species